ensembl:lncRNA
GAGGCCAGCAGUAGAUGGACAUGUUGAGAAGGGGGAGGCCAGCAGUAGAUGGAGAUGUUGAGAAGGGGGAGGCCAGCAGUAGAUGGAGAUGUUGAGAAGGGGGAGACCAGCAGUAGAUGGACAUGUUGAGAAGGGGGAGGCCAGCAGUAGAUGGACAUGUUGAGAAGGGGGAGGCCAGCAGUAGAUGGACAUGUUGAGAAGGGGGAGGCCAGCGGGCGCUGAGGUAAUGGCUCACUGGUCUAUUGUUCCCUCUCUUCUUCCUCACCCUCCACCGUCUCCUUCUCCCAUCCAGUCCCCCCCCCCACUACACCCACAACCCCCCUUUCUGGACUUCAAAGGGAAGGAAGGAAGUUGAAAACAAGGUGAAUUAAUUUCCCCCUCGUACCAAGCCUACAUGUUGCAGCGGAUGUGCUUUUUAAUUGCUUGUGCUAAAUGCGGAACCUAUUUUUGCCUCCUUUACAAAAGCCUAAAUGAUGAUCCGGGUGGAAUCCAUGCCGAUGCCAGCAGACCUCAUGAAACAUUAACGCUGCUCACACAAGCAACGACCUUGAAAACAAGUCGCGAGAAAGCCAAAGAAAGGGACGCUGUAAAGUGCGACUCGGCCAACACGUGGCUUCAUCAAUUGUGCUCAAACUGACAUUCCUCGGCAUCUUUAACCCUCCACCCAGAAGCCUCGGCGCAGACCGAACCCUGUGAAGUGGAUCAAUGGGAGGAUUAUCGCAGGACCAAGAUGCCCGUUAGAGCGCCGCUCUGCGCUGCCUCAGUGACGGGAGAAGAUGAGAGGCUUUUCCUUUCAUCUUGUGCUGGCGCAUCGGAGGGGGCCGAUGAUAAUGAUGUGGAGGCCCGACCCGCUCUCGCCCGUCCUCUACCGCCAAAAUAAAAGGCCUGUGGAGGGUCGGACGGGACAAACGGAUUUAGUCAGGCGGAUUUUGGAUUCAUGUGAAUUUAUCCCAGAAUUGUUUUUUUUGCUUCCUCGGGAGGAAUGUUAUCGAUGCAACAGUGGUGUGUGUGUGUGUGCGUGUGUGUGCGUGUGUGCGUGUGUGCGUGUGUGUGCGUGUGUGCAUGUGUGUGUGCGUGUGCUCCAGUUGUUUCCUCCGUCUCAUCAGAUCCAGCUGAACACCUCUGUCCUCUCUCAAGGACACCCCUCCCUUCGUCCCUCACAUUGUGUCUCUGUCUCUCCCUCUGUUGCUUUUUCUUUCUCACACACACACACACACACACACACACACACACACACACACACACACACACACACACACACACACACACACACACACACAGUCACUCACACUUCACCUAUACACACUUCACACACACCCACACUCACACGUUCUCUCUCUCCCUGUGUGUGACAGGCGGCGGUGCUGGAGAUGGCUGCUGACAUUCUGGACAGUAAAAGGCUUAAGGUGGAUUGUGUGUGUGUGUGUGUGUGUGCGUGUGCGCGUGUGUGUCUCUGAGGCAGAUGGAGAAACCUCUCAUUUCUUCCUCCAGUGUCUCUACAUGUUAUCUGAGCGCUGCUGUCGCACACAGAGUCUCCAGCGGCUCGUCUGUUGGACGGUUUCCUAAAGCCUGAUGGUUAUCAUAAUAAGGUGGAAGGUCAGAAAUCUCUUAAUUAGUGCUAAAUAGGAAUUAGAUUAGGCUUUUGUCCACUUCAGAAGCAGCUCUAGUUAAACAGAUUAGCGGAUUAGGCCGGGAUGAGGACAGAGAGGGAAAGGUUGACACGUCGGUGACGAGGAGCACAUUAUCUGAUUGGCUGUCAGUCAGCUUUGGGGAAAGGUGACGGCGCGGCCAACACGCCACCACGUGUCAAUCGUGUCUCGGGACAGUGUGAACACCCACAGAACUCUCAUUGCCUUUGUGUGCGCUACCAUGUCAGGCGACGUCAUCGCCUCUUUCCACUUUAAAACGUAUGUGUUUUGCUCCACGUCCACACGGAAACGCUCCCGAGGACGGAUCCGUUUGAAGGGCUCACGGGUUGCGGACGGUUGAAGACGGAUCCGCAUGGCCACCCGAUUGGUUGUGAGCAGUCGUAACGCGUCCUUCCCUUAAUCGUCACACUCCGAUCAUGUGACCGCUUCCAGGAAGAAAACCAACAGCCGCGGCUGCGUUGUUGUCUCUAAACUCUGCAUUUGACUUAUUAUAAUUACUCAUUAUAAUGACUUAUUAUUUAUGGCAAUGAAGAUCUCAUGUAGAUACAGAUCUCAUGGGGACGAAAAUCUCAUGUGGAUAAAGAUAUCAUGGGGGUGAAGAUCUCGUGUGGAUGAUCAUCUCAAGUGGAUGAAAACCUCAUAGGGAUGAAGAUCUCAUGUAGAUACAGAUCUUGUGUGGAUGAUCAUCUCAAGUGGAUGAAGAUAUCAUAGGGAUGAUCAUCUUAAGUGGAUGAUCAUCUCAAGUGGAUGAAGAUCUCAUGGGGAUGAAGAUCUCAUGGGGACAAAGAGCUCAUGGGGACAAGAUCUCAUGGGGAUGAAGAUCUCAUGUAGAUACAGAUCUCAUGGGGACGAAGAUCUCGUGUGGAUGAUCAUCUCAAGUGGAUAAAGAUCUCAUGUGGAUGAAGAUCUCAUGGGGAUGAAGAUCUCAUGGGAAUGAAGAUCUCAUGUAAAUAAAGAUCUCAUUGGGACGAAGAUCUCAUGUAGAUAAAGAUCUCAUGUAGAUACAGAUCUCAUGACAACGAAGAUCUCAUGUGGAAAUAGAUCUCAUGGGGAUAAAGAUCUCGUUUGGAUGAAGAUCUCAUGGGGAUGAAGAUCUCAUGUAGAUACAGAUCUCAUGGGGAUGAAGAUCUUGUGUGGAUGAAGAUCUCAUGUGGAUAAAGAUCUCAUGGGGAUGAAGAUCUCGUGUGGAUGAAGAUCUCAUGUGGAUGAAGAUCUCGUGUGGAUGAAGAUCUCGUGUGGAUGAAGAUCUCAUGGGGAUGAAGAUCUUGUGUGGGUGAAGAUCUCAUGGGGAUGAAGAUCUUGUGGGGAUGAAGAUCUCAUGUAGAUAAAGAUCUCAUGUGGAUGAAGAUCUCGUGUGGGUGAAGAUCUCAUGUGGAUGAAGAUCUCAUUUGGAUGAAGAUCUCAUGGGGAUGAAGAUCUCGUGUGGGUGCUGUCUCAGACUAACUCUUAUCUGACACCUCGCUCACCACAAGUCUUUCCCUCCUGUCUCCUCUAACGUUCUGUUAUUUCUUCACCCUCCCUUCGCUGUUCAAAGACAGCUUUUCUGUCCUAUUCACUACAUUUGAUGGGCUCGUGCCAAGAGGACGGUGUCUCCUCUCUCCUUCUACCCUUCCCUCCUCCGUCUCCCUUUCACUUCCUCUUCCUCACCAUCUUGUCUCCCUCUCAUCGUCAUCCUCCUCCACGCCUUCCUUUCCUCGCCACCCCUCAGUCUAUUCUGUGGCCCAGCGUGGGUGGCUGAGUUUAAUGAAUUCUCUUUUCUUUCUGCAGCCAGGCGUUGAUUUCUGAUUGUGAAGAGGUGUGCGUGUGUUGUGAGUGUGCGAUGUAUGAAUGAGUGAGUGAGUGAAGUGCUUGCGCACACGCACACAAACACGCACACACUCUCAUAUUUUACUUACUCGCUUUCCGUGCCUUGACUAUGAUCAUUAUAACAGUCUAAAUCUCGGCCUUUAUCCCGAUCAAGGCUUUGCACUUUCCUCUCUCAUAAGAAGCAGAAAGUUGCCGACUGUCAGCGUUAAAGUAGAUUCGCCUCUGGAUGUGUUUGCUGCUGCUGUGAACACUACCUGCCGUCUCCUGCAGCCAGAAACAUGAGUCAAGAAUCUGUUUUGUCCUCUGAUGUCUUACUAAUGCACAGGAAACGGGGGGGGACCCAGUAAAAUGACCGCAGGAAGGAAGUAGACGCUGAAGACCCUGAUCAGAUUCUGUUAUGCGGUGCAUCAGAAUAAUACAUGUAUAGUCUGUUUGGUUUGACCAGCUCACAAGGUCAUGUAACUUUUUGUGCUGAUGAAGCGUCGGAGGAGGGUUUGUGUGCGUCGGAGGAGGGUUUGUGUGAGUCGGAGGAGGGUUUGUGUGAGUCGGAGGAGGCUUUGUGUG